rnacentral:tRNA from 1 species
GAGGGUAUAGCUCAGUGGUAGUGCAUGCUUUGCAUGCACGAGGUCCUGGGUUCAAUCCCCAGUACCUCCA